rnacentral:rRNA from 1 species
UAGAGUUUGAUCAUGGCUCAGAACGAACGCUGGCGGCAGGCCUAACACAUGCAAGUCGAGCGCACCUUCGGGUGAGCGGCGGACGGGUUAGUAACGCGUGGGAACGUGCCCUUUUCUGCGGAAUAGCCACUGGAAACGGUGAGUAAUACCGCAUACGCCCUUCGGGGGAAAGAUUUAUCGGAGAAGGAUCGGCCCGCGUUAGAUUAGGUAGUUGGUGGGGUAAUGGCCUACCAAGCCUACGAUCUAUAGCUGGUUUGAGAGGAUGAUCAGCAACACUGGGACUGAGACACGGCCCAGACUCCUACGGGAGGCAGCAGUGGGGAAUCUUAGACAAUGGGGGCAACCCUGAUCUAGCCAUGCCGCGUGAGUGAUGAAGGCCUUAGGGUCGUAAAGCUCUUUCGCUGGGGAUGAUAAUGACAGUACCCAGUAAAGAAACCCCGGCUAACUCCGUGCCAGCAGCCGCGGUAAUACGGAGGGGGUUAGCGUUGUUCGGAAUUACUGGGCGUAAAGCGCACGUAGGCGGACUGGAAAGUUAGAGGUGAAAUCCCGGGGCUCAACCCCGGAACUGCCUUUAAAACUAUCAGUCUAGAGUUCGAGAGAGGUGAGUGGAAUUCCGAGUGUAGAGGUGAA